CACUAUUUACUUACAUAUUUAUAUAUAAGUAUUUAUAUAUAGUUUUUGAAUUAUUUGCCUUUUUCGUCUGCUUCUUUCCAGCUUACAAACGGGGUUCACUUACUCCAGCAGUCAAAAACAAGGUCUCUGUGUGGCUAAAAUUGUACUUUUUAUUACUUAUGUUUUAUGCUGGCCCUCUGCUAUUCAUAUUGCCAUCACUCAUUCAACCAAUUUCCGGGUUACAAAGGUAAAUAGGACACUAGCAACCAGCUAUCUGCUGAAAUAUAAAACCGGAGAACUGCUGGACAAAACAGUAAAUAUGAAAAAACAUAAAAAAUGGAGACAAGUUGCAAAUUGUUCUGGAAUAUCAAGUCUAUGUAAUACUAAAAGUUAUUUUGAUUGUAAACUAUCCCUUUAAAACACAGUAGGUUGUAUAAUUAGCUUAACUUUGAUAAAAUGCAUAAAAUGGGUCAGGGGGUUUGUGUACUUUGAGGAUGUCCUGUAUGAUGACAAUGUUUUACUUAAUGAUUCUGUAUGGUGGAAAUAGAGCUCACAAUAUUUCUAAGAUGGUCCACCCCCCCUAAAAGGAUUACUCAAGUCAUUGCUUUUACGCCAAAAAAUAAUCUUAUGAACCUAUCAAAAGUUUAUGCAUGCAUUUUAUAUAUAAAUUUCAAUAUUUUACUUGUUAAUUAAAUUUGCCCUGGGAAGUUUGACAACAUAUUAACAGACUGACCCCUGGCUUGUCCACGGAGAUUUCAUUAUAGAUACCCAAAAUGGAUGUCUUUAGUAGCCCAGUGCCUAAGCAGAAUAAGUCACAGAAUUACAACUCUAACACUUGUAACUCUUUUUGUAAAACUCUAUAUUUGCAUUGCAAGCUUAGCUACUAACGUCACCAUGCUAUAUGAUAUGUGUUUGUUAAUGUAUAAUGACAAGUCGCGAUUCCAUUACAGCUUUUAAGCAUGGAACAAGAUAAGUAAAGCUCACUCUGCUGUUCUAGAGUUCCAACGUCCAGUACGAGUUGUACGGGUCUGAUUUUUGUGGUCCAAAAAAAGCCAUAUUCUUCUCUAUGGUCUUCUUCGGGAAGUAGGUGCUGUAUUGGCACAUGCACAGAUGGAGAAGUCUUCGAAUGCGCAUGUGUUGAAAUUGACGGAAAUUGCCAAAGUGCUGGAAGAAGACUCGAAGAUUACCGAAGAGCCGGCGCCAGUGAGCUCCUCUGUGCUGAAUCUGCAAAGAGAGAUGUUUUUAGGAACUGGACUUUUUUCAUCAUAUACAUUUCUCACUUUUGAAGAUGGAUAUGGAUCGGUGUGGGAAACAAUUCCCCCUUGGCAGCAAGGUGCAUUGGCCAGUUUGUUGUAACUAGUGGCAAUGAGGUAAGACUUUUGAUUUCAAUUACUAAUAUGGCUUAACUUAAAGGGGAACUCCGGCUUCCAAACCAAAAUUUGGCCAAAGAGGCCCACAUAACACAGAAACCACUAAUAUUCCCAUCACAGUUACCUGUUUCUUUAAAAAGUAUGAAUAAAUGCCAUUUUCUAUGCUGCAAUCCAGCUGUUUAACAGUUCUUCUCUUUCUGCAUCAUUUGAAAUCCUGGCAGGGAUGGAGGGAAAAAAAACACUGAUGUUAAAAAUUGUAACAACUUCUCAACAAUCUCUGACAUGUAACCCCCGCAUCAGUGUAUCAGAAGAUUGGUGAUGCUGCUGGGGUUGUGAAUAAGAAUUAACUCUAAUUGUUUGUAGAUAGGUGAAGAUUUUUAUAUACUUUAUAUUUAGAUAAAAACAAUAAAAAUGAGUCUACCUCCCCAGCCCGACUAUGUACUGUACCUAUAAUUUAAGUUUGUGGUCAUCUUUCAGUUAUUAUGAAAUGAAAGAGACUGAUCAAAACUAAUUGAUGAGUUGCUGUUGAAACCCCCACUUGUACCAUUUUAUAUUGGAAAGUAAAUAUAAUAACGUCUUUAUAUCUUCUGAUUCGGGUUGCUCUUUCUUAUCUCUGCAAAGGAGUCCAUUAUCGAUGGGUAUUUUUCUUCCCUAGUGGACCAUCUCUGGAUGAGAUCGGAGAACUUGUUAAUGAUUUAAAGGUAUAUAAUAUCAUGGAAUAUACAGUUAAAGUAGCUUCUUAUACCCAGUAUAGAGUGUUUGCAACAGAAACAAGAAGGAAUGUUAGCAAUCCGUUGUAACCAAUGAAUAAUAGUUACAGUAAACUUUUUUCUCCUUUCAUAACCAAAAGUCUGUUUCAGCAGCAGCAACACUGUUGUUUUUACAUAGCAGAGAGCUAUCAGUGUGAAUAACUAUGGAACCUUUGCAUACGGAUAGUGUUUUAGCAGAAACCGAUGUAUACCAGCUUCUAUUAUCUGUGCACUCUAGGCAAAGUUUAGCAUUAAUCCCUCUUCCCAGAACAAACAAAAGUAUCCUGUACUCAGAGCCUGAUUCUCUGCUGUAAAUAGAUUGUGCUCCUAUUAUUCCCUUAAUCUUCACUAAUCAUAACCCAUUCAGCCUGCUGCAGCCCCCUGCCCUGCCACCUUUACAGCCUUAAUACCGGAAGCCUUUUUUAUUUGAGUCAGUUGAUUUUGACAGUGACGGGAUUUUAUGGAACCAUAUUGAAUGGUCAGCCUUUUGUGGAUUAAGCAGACAAUACGGCUAGUGAAUACAGAUUAGAAUUUACUAAUGCUUUAGAUUGUGAUUAUCGACAUUUUUUGGAAUUCAUGUUUUAGGCCUUGGCUAUGCCAGGUCUACUUCCAUAAUACAUCUGAUGAGUAGUUACAGGUCAGCCUUGUAGUGAUUCACUGGUUUGUACACUCCCUCUUAAUCUACUGUGUGCUUUAGUAUUGCGCCCAAAAUAAAUGAAUGUUUAACUGUUGUGUUUCUAAAGGAAGAGUAACACACAAAUAUGUUUU